AUGGAAAAUCUCAAAACAGAGGUAGAAGACACCUCGCUUGUACCAGACACGGCAAAAUCUACUGCUUUCUUAGAUGCAUGCAACAUUCUUAAAUGUAGUAAUGAGGUUUCUGCAACAAUUGAAGAGCUUAGUAAAACUGUUGGUGCUGAUAUACAACCAAUUCUAACAAGUUCGUCGCCACCUUCCAAAAGAAAGAAGCAGAAAGUUGGAAGCAAAGAAUAA